CAAUAUUGAGAACCAAAUUAUAACGGUUAAAAGACACCGAAAUCCCAAGCCGUAGGAAAUCCGAAGGUGCGCAGCAGGUAGAUCGUAGGUAAUCCGUGAGGAAUUGAUGUGCAAGUACCCACGGAUACCCGACGAAAUAAACCCGGGAACGAUCACCGCCAAUUUUUUCGGUGAAAAUUACCUACGGAUUCGCGAGAGAAAAACGCCGUCGGGAAAGUUUUUAUAUUAAAAUGGGAAUUUCUUUUCCUUGCCCAUUAUUCUCUCUCUCUCUCAAACCAUAUGUCGCGUCUCUCUCUAUUCGACGGAAAGCAAAGGGUUUUCUUCUCCCUUUUCACUCAUCUCAUCCCAAAUCUCCACUAAAAUCAUGUCUGGAACACCUACACAGUCUCGACGUCCUUUAUCUCGAGGUACUAGUAGUAGUUCUUCAGCGCCUUUUGUAUCUCGGGAAUCACCAUCCGCACCUUCUAGGAUGGACAGCCAUUGCCGACUAACAUGGACAUUGACGAGUUGAUCCGGCAACCUGGCCGAGAAACCCUUCCACGUCUCAAUCCUAAUUAUAAAACCAUUCCAAACACCACUUGGUUUGGAUUAUCAGAGAGUGGUGUCAGCAAAAGUCUUCUGAGAAUUGUUUACUCUGGUUUGCUACCGAAAGGUUGGCCGACAUAUGCAGAGAUUCCUCCACGUUACCGGGACCUCUGGUUUCGGCAAUUUGCGCAAGAGUACAAUUGGGAUUCAGGAUUGACUGGGAGAGUGAAGAUCUCAUUUGAUCGAUACGCCACUAGAUACUACAGCGGUAGAAUCAGUGAGUGGAAAAAAGUGUGGGAGGCUGGGACCCCCUAAGAACGUCAGCCUGACCGUUUUGGAGGAGUUGAUAGUUCAUUGGGGGAAACCAGAAACAAAGGCCCAGUCGGAAACCAACUCGAAGAACAAGCGUAGCGACCGUGGCGGGAAAGGAGCUUAUGUCCACAACCUUGGCUCAACUAGUUUACUUUCUCGAGAACGUGAACUACGAACGAGGGUAACCCCGUUGAUGCUUUCGCUCUAUUGAAGUCUGCUCACACCAACAAACAGACUGGGGAAAUUCAGGAUUCGCUUAUAAAGGAUGUCUGCGAUCUUGUAUUGUCCAGACCAGAGCAGAUGACAUCAUCUCAACCCAAAAUUCUCAAUCUGAAGAUGGAUCUUUUGCUUUCUCCAACACCGUAACUUUGGAGCAACUAAACAACCUUGUUCUUGAGGCUGUUCCAAAGAAAAAAGGUCGAUACGUUGGGAUAGGUCGUUCAAUCAAUGAUGGAUCAUCUUCUUCGGUUCAUUGCCCUUAUCCUGUUCAAGACCUCCUGGAACAGAUCAAGAACAAAGACGAGGAGAUUGCGUUAUUGAAGACCGAAAAUGCUGAGAUCCGGGCUGAGCUACAAGUAACCAAGAGUCUCACCGAGACAAUUAUGGAUAAACUAAAGAAUCGUUUUGGAGAAGAUUUUUAGUUUUUAUUUUAUUUUCAAACUUGUAAUGUAUAUAUUGACUACUUUUAAAAUUAUGUUUAAUACUAUUAGUUUUAAAAUAAUAAUUUCAAUACGAA